GGCGGCAGGUCUNAAACAAACGGAGCUAGGGGGUGUAGCAAUACAUCACCGGCGGACGGGUGCUUUAUCCGUGGGAAUAUACGAAAAGGUACGGAACAACUGAGGGAAACUUCAGCUAAUACCGUAUACGUCCUAACGGAGAAAGAUUUAUCGCCGAAGGAUUAGCCCGCGCUCGAUUAGCUAGUUGGUGAGGUAAUGGCCUACCAAGGCGACGAUCCAUAGCUGGUCUGAGAGGAUGAUCAGCCACACUGGGACUGAGACACGGCCCAUACUCCUACGGGAGGCAGCAGUGGG
rnacentral:rRNA from 1 species